rfam:Manacus vitellinus contig23171, whole genome shotgun sequence.
CCCCUGGUGGUCUAGUGGUUAGGAUGCAGCACUCCCACUGCCACAGCCCGGGUUCAAUUCCUGGUCAGGGAA